GACGAACGCUGGCGGCGCGCUUAACACAUGCAAGUCGAACGGAAAGGCCUGCUUUCCCUUGUGGAUUGCGGGUACUCGAGUGGCGAACGGGUGAGUAACACGUGAGUGAUCUGCCCCCAACUUGGGUAUAAGCCUGGGAAACUGGGUCUAAUUCCCGAUAGGACUGCAGGGUGGUGCCUGUGGUGGAAAACGAUUUUCUAGUGGUUGGGGAUGAGCUCGCGGCCUAUCAGCUUGUUGGUGGGGUAAUGGCCUACCAAGGCGGCGACGGGUAGCCGGCCUGGGAUGGUGGACGGCCACAUUGGGACUGAGUUCCGGCCCAGACUCCUACGGGAGGCAGCAGUGGGGAAUAUUGCACAAUGGGCGGAAGCCUGAUGCAGCGACGCCGCGUGGGGGAUGACGGCCUUCGGGUUGUAAACUCCUUUCGACCGCGAGGAAGCCACCUGGUUGGAAGGGUGGUGACGGUAGUGGUAGAAGAAGCACCGGCUAACUACGUG
rnacentral:rRNA from 1 species